rnacentral:rRNA from 1 species
GAGUGAUCAAGUGUCUUAAGGGCAUUCGGUGGAUGCCUUGGCGACAAGAGGCGAUGAAAGACGUGAUACGCUGCGAUAAGCCAUGGGGAGCUGCGAAUAAGCUUUGAUCCGUGGAUUUCUGAAUGGGGCAACCCACUCCGUAUGGAGUAUCCCUUAAAGGGAAGCAAACCCGGGGAACUGAAACAUCUAAGU